rnacentral:rRNA from 1 species
CCUACGGGGGGCAGCAGUGAGGAAUAUUGGUCAAUGGCCGCAGGGCUGAACCAGCCAAGUCGCGUGAGGGAUGACGGUCCUAUGGAUUGUAAACCUCUUUUGUCAGGGAGCAAAGGCCGCCACGUGUGGCGUUUUGCGAGUACCUGAAGAAAAAGCAUCGGCUAACUCCGUGCCAGCAGCCGGGGUAAUACGGAGGAUGCGAGCGGUAUCCGGAAUCAUUGGGCGUAAAGAGUUCGUAGGUGGCACGUUAAGGCUGGUGUUAAAGGCGGAAGCUCAACUUCCGUAGGGCACUGGAUACUGGCGAGCUUGAAUGCGGUAGAGGUAAAGGGAAUGCCUGGUGUAGCGGUGAAAUGCGUAGAUAUCAGGAGGAACAUCGGUGGCGAAGGCGCUUUACUGGGCCGUAAUUGACGCUGAGGAACGAAAGCCGGGGUAGCAAAUGGGAUUAGAUACCCGUGUAGUC